GAACAUUGUUGAAAUGACAACAAAGGAUUUAGAAUAGUGCAGGCCUGCUUUGCCCCAGGUCCUGCUCAAAACGCUUAGGAAUCCAUCAGAAAACAAAACAGGGUUUCUGACUUCAUGAAGCUUCCAUUUUUGUGGGAGAAGACGGACAACAGAAGCUGUAUUUAUUAAACACUUACAUAACAUAGCACUGACUCCAUGGCAGGUGUUAUGCUACACAUUUUAUAAAUACAAAUUCAUUUGAUCCUCAUGAAAAUUCUGAGUUAGGUAUUGUUCAUAUAAAUAAGGAAACCAAGGCAAAGGGGUUAAAUAAUCCACCCAAAGCCACAUGAGUAGCAAGUGGUGAAGCCACAACUCAACCCCAGGCAGCCUGGCUCCAGAGCCCAGGCCCUCUACCUCUCAGUAAGCAUGAGUGAGCAACACAGCAUGCUAGAGGGUGAGUGCCCCGGAAAAAUGGAGAGUAAAGCAGAGUAAAGGGAAUCCGGAGCACGGAGGGAAGGAGACACACUGACAUUUUAAACUGGGAG
rnacentral:lncRNA from 1 species